GUCUACCAUACCAAAGAGAGAUUCUAGCUGGAAGAAACAAUCAGUGCAGUGCUUGUCUGAAAGAGGUCACUGAGGGGAGCAGGGCAGGUGUGCAAGAAGCAACCAUGGCCUUGUGGCCAAGGGUAGCUGAAGAACUAACACACACAGUCAGGGAGAAAUGACCAAGGCCUUCUGCACUUCAGCUCUUCUGGGACAUACAGGCCCGCUAUAAAACAGUGCAGUCAUUCACACCCAUUCAAACAAAUUUUUCCUUGUGCUUUCCUUUUUAUUCUUAGAGGCAACAUGAAAGACAAAGAGUUUUCAAAAGAAGGAGGAUCUGGGAAUUCUCAAUACUGCAAGUCAGUUUGUUGGCAUUUUCAUGACGAAAACCCACAGGAUCAUAUUAAGGCUCUAGAAAACCCAGUUUGAUAACUACUUGUUCCCCAAACUAAGGAGAGGAAGUAAAAACCAGAGAGAACUGAAGUAAUCAGUUAAACUGUCCCAUGGUUCCGCUAGAACAAAGAAACUGUGCUCAUAAAUCACAUCCUCUGAUAAAAAAAAAAGAGACCGUACAGACUACUUGUGAGCUUCCAAAUCUGUAUGGAACAAGGACCUCCUGCAGCAUGGACAGCUCCUAAACCAGGAUCUGUUUUGGUUUGGCCUAUACUCUGUUUGGUCCACAGUCACCUCUACUACUCUGCACAUGCAAGGAUCUGUAUCUGUUUCCACAAAAGCAGAUCCUUCUAAACAGCCUCUGUGCUUACCAACAUUACCUACAAAGAGCAGGUACAGUGAAGUCUGCCAGGUCUGUUCAAUCUCCUUCAACUUAGGAAUGGUGAAAACAUCUCAUGUGUUCUCUGGACAAAAGACUCCCAUCAACUGCUUAUUGAGCAAUAAGGACAGGUGACCUCUACCUUGACAAGCUCUUCAGUUGCUUUCUUGUUCCCAGCCUGCAAAAGAGGGUAUCAGAAGGAGUAGGCUCACAGCCACACCAUAGCAUAUGCAGGGAUAUUUAAAAACAACAUUUGUGAACACAAGAAUGUUUCCAUUAUCUGGACCACUGUACAACUUUUGAGCUGGUGAUGCAAAGCCAUUAUUAACAACCUACCUGAAAUAACAGGAGUGAACAGCCUAGAAAACCAGUGGCUUCAACCAUCCCUACUUCCAAGAAUCCAGGUAUGACUGAUAGUAGCUCCUUUUCAUUUAGAGCUCUCACAGGUGCAGUCUGUUGUAUUGCAAAGACAAAUGUGAACUGCUGCUUCCUCUUUGGUCUCUGUGAGUCCACCAUAAAAAGAAGAUCUCUUCUGGCACUUAAUAAUUCUGCAUUUUUUAAAUGUGCCCAGAUUUCAAGUGAGCACCUUGUACCUACCAAUGGGAAAGUUUUAACUGGGUUUAGCAGUUAUUCCUUUUGGAGAUCUGCCUCAAGGUAAAUAAAUGCAACGUCUAUACCAUGGGACCCGGAGCAUAUCCCAUCUAUGUCCUGACUGUGUAUCAGGAUGAGACCAGGGACCCAUGUUUGCACUCUGGUUUCCAAAGAAAGGAAAUCUCAGCAUGUCAGCCAGCAGAGAGGCACCAUAUGCUCCCACACGACCUCCUCAGAUCAGGACUCCAAGCCACAGUGUGGCACAUGCCUGUGGUCUACACUGAGCUACACCAAUGACACAGGCCAAAGCCUCACAGAGAGAACAAAAUAUGAAAUGUCAUCUGAAAUAAAGAAGUCUUUCUAGUUGCCCAUAAUCUCAUUCCCAAUGUUGCCACUGCACAACUGAAAAUACCAACUGAAAAUAGCACUGGAGUUUCACCACCAGGUUCUCACAGCAAACAGUUCUGACAUUGCCUUAACCUUGAAACCAGGACUGGGUGAGGCUGAAUCCUCUCCAACAACUGCUUGCCCAAUUCUGUUAAACCAAGCCAGCAGACUCAUAGGAUAAACACGCAAAUGAGCAAGUCAUGUAAAACAGUCAUUAUUUACAGCAACGCACCAUUGCAAAGGCUCUUUAUCUUGAGCAACACUCACAAUUCCUGCACCAUUUUCAGUUUCAGUUUCCUAGAAAAGCCUGAAACUGUGUUUGAACACCAUAAAUGGCAGCAAUGACAGAUUUUGCACUGUGGUCGUUUAGCUAAUCCAUUGAUAAGCAGCAAAACAAAACUCCCUAAACAGGGAGAACUUAUAUGGAUAAUCAGCAAAAAGUCUGUUCCCAGACUGACAUCCACCAGCAAAGAUUGUGGAGCCAAACUCGUCACUGUGAGUAGGUACUCUGACCCAGACAGCAGGUCUGGUGCAAAGCAGGGCCGACCUGUAUCAGCAGAGAACUUGCUGAUAAGAAGCAGCCACGCUGUACGGCUUUACAGACAGAACUUUCCAGCUGGUCUGCACCAAAUUUGCUUCACUUUAAAAAAUACUUCAGUUUAAAAAAUGGAUUUUAAAAUGUUUUCCAUGGCGUGGAUCUGAAAGCCAAAGAGGGAUUUUGAAGAACCAUCACAGACGAUAAAGCUGGAAAGAACAUUUAUAGGACCAUCCUGUAAGGCAGUGCCAUUUCCCUCUGUAUGGGUCAGGGCUGGCACACCAACAGUGACAUAGGGGCAUUCGCUUUCCUGAAAUGUGCAUUUAUCUGUACUUACCUAUACUUAUGUGCAAGUGUGAAUACGUUUUUUCAGAAAGAAAAGGAGCUAAAUACAUGGUUUAUAUUAGUAUCUGCUAA